rnacentral:rRNA from 1 species
UACAGAGGUCUCAAGCGUUGUUCGGAAUCAUUGGGCGUAAAGGGCGCGUAGGUGGCCCGGUGAGUCUUUGGUGAAAGCGCGGGGCUCAACCCUGCGUCGGCCAGGGAUACUGCCGCGGUUCGAGCACUGUAGAGGCAGGCGGAAUUCCGGGUGUAGCGGUGGAAUGCGUAGAGAUCCGGAAGAACACCGGUGGCGAAGGCGGCCUGCUGGGCAGUGGCUGACGCUGAGGCGCGACAGCGUGGGGAGCAAACAGG